rnacentral:rRNA from 1 species
AAUUUUUAUGGAUAGUUUGAUCCUGGCUCAGGAGAAACGCUCGCGGCUUGCCUCAUAAAUGCAAGUAGAGCGAA